CGUCGACCGGCGCACGGGUGAGUAACGCGUAUCCAACCUUCCCAUUACUGUGGGAUAACCUGCCGAAAGGCAGACUAAUACCGCAUAGUCUUCGAUGACGGCAUCAGAUUUGAAGUAAAGAUUUAUCGGUAAUGGAUGGGGAUGCGUCUGAUUAGCUUGUUGGCGGGGUAACGGCCCACCAAGGCGACGAUCAGUAGGGGUUCUGAGAGGAAGGUCCCCCACAUUGGAACUGAGACACGGUCCAAACUCCUACGGGAGGCAGCAGGU
rnacentral:rRNA from 1 species